rnacentral:lncRNA from 1 species
UUGGGAUUAAAACCCUAAUUGAGAUUUGAUGAACAAGAUGCGGAAAAUAAGAACAAACACAAAUAUGAAGAUUAUGUCGAAUGAUCACUCGAUUUAUUCAAAUAUGAGGAAUAAAUUACACUUAAGAAAUAAGAAUCUAACUCUACAAGAAACCUCACAACGUGGCGGCUACAUUUUGCCCCACUCUCUUAACCCUAAUUGUGAAUAAUACAUGAAUAUUUAUAGGGAAAAGACAAGUGUUGGGCUUUUAACCUAGAAUUCGUCAAAGGGGCCCAUUGCCAUCAUCCAUGGAGUGCUUUGAAACCCUACAAUCUCCCCCUCAAAGUAUGGAAUGGAUGACAAUGCUUUAACUUCCAAAACAAGCAUCCAGCAAAUAAAAAGAUCUGCAACGAGGAAUAUAUGAAGCAAUCCACGAAUCUUGAUUCUUCAAUAGUCUUCAAACACGGGCUCUAGGAUAUAUAAAUUAGGCACUGAAGUAAUGUCUUUAAACUUCAUUUUCGAAUGUAAUCCCAAAGUAUCUUCAUGAAAACCAAACUCGCCAUAAAAACCCAUUUCAGAACAAAGAAACCGAAUCACUUCUUGUCUUUGAAGAGCUCCCCCUCCAAGUCACAAUGAUCUUUAAAUAAGCUAAUGAUAUAAGCUAUCAAAAAAUAUCAUGUAACAACCCAAACUUUAUGAUUCGUAACGCCACUUGAUCGAGAAAAUACAAGAAGUCAGAGAUAUAACAAGUCCUUAGCAGAGCUCGAUAAAAAACUUCUGUUGUAAAGGAUACUUCUCUGUAAAAGCUUUAGCAGAGCUCGAUGAAGAACUUCCGCUGUAAAAGCUACCUUCAUAAUUCUACCAUAAGCUUUAUCAAAAAUCUUCAACUUUGAAAAGUCACAAAUCCAAUUUCGAAUGGCCAUACCAAAUUCUCCCCCGAUUUAUAAUCAAAAACAUGAUUAUAAAGCCUUCAAAUGUUCAUAAGAAUGAUCUUGAAUGGAUAAAAAUUUACUAAGCUCCCCCGCGACAAAAAGAUAUACACAAUGAAGUAUAAAAUCCGAAAAAAUCGUGAAAAUUUGACGUUAUCAUGAUAAACGACUUUCCGAACCGCCAAGACUUGAUGGAAUCUUUAUUUUUCUGUUCACGAAAAAGAUAUGUGCGUUAAAGAAUUCAAAACCGUUCACCGGCCCUCAAAUUUGUAAACUUUUUGAAAAAUGGGCUGAAAUUGUCACUUGCUUAAAAACAGGGGCUGGAAUGGUAAUUCUGCAUCAAUAUUCCCCUUUAUUUGUAACAAUUUCUGGGAUUGGUCCAAAAAUAUCAAAUUGUGAAAACAAAAGGGACCAAAAGUGACAAUUCACUGGAGUUGUAGGGACUAAAAAUAUAACUUGAAUAUCUUUUCCCCAAUUUAACAUGAGAUUAAAAUAAUGAACGGCGACUCAAUAAAACCUUCAAAUGAUUGUAAACGAAAGCCAAGAUACCAAUUCUGAUCAACCAAUAACUCCAAUUUACACAUUCGUUCCAAGCACAAGAUGUAAAUCCAAGCACAUUCACAUACGAAAUCAAGUCUAAUCUGAUUUCUAAUUGCGAGUGGAGUACGUAUCUCGACCCAAUUCCAACUGUGAAUCAACUAAUUGCGAAUCCGAGUACAGUUGUAUUUCCGAUGUGAGCCGAUUGGAAUUAAAGUCCUGGUUUGUUCCGAGUCAAGCGACUAUAGCCUAAUGCGAAUCUAUUCUCAGGUAAAUGGUUCGUUUAUAGUCCAUCCCGUCUCACAGUCAAUUUUGACUUAUCAAUUUUGACCAUUGUUCAUCCCAAUUGAGUUCCGAUUUCAUUCGUUCGCAUGUAACUCAACGUUCUUUCGUUCCGAGUGUUUAACUUCACCAUUGUUCCCGAAACAAACAUUUACUUGAUAUCAAUAUUCAGAACAAAUCAUUCACAUCCAGUUCCGAUCCCAAAGAAAAAUUUCACACUUCCGAUUUUGACAGUCUUCGUUUUUCAUCACAAUCCUUCUCGUUCCGAUUGUAUUCCAAAUGAGACAUUUAAGCAGAUAAAAAUUUCCAAAUCCACACCUUUUUCAAUCGUAUCCAGAUCAAUAACCAUAUUCUUCAUCAGUUCUUCAAAGAACAAAUAUGAACUCCAAACCAAGAAUCAUCACCCUCAUAGUUCCAAUAUCGAAAUAAACAUCAAUUUCUAACAGUUGUUAAAUUAACCUUGAAAUCAAUUGAAUAAAGAAUGAAUUUGAAGGCUCAAAAAGGAAAGAAAACGAUGUGAUACGGAUUUUAUAUAAGCCAGAUCCCGUCAUCAAUCAUGAACCAAAUCAAAUAUUGAAGCAAACAAUUUAAUCUCAACAUAUAAUCGAUUUUCAGGCAUAAAUCAAUUGAUUGAAACCAAAAAAAAUAAGAAUCUAUGAUUUCAAGAUGACAUUAUCGAUGAUGAAUCGAGAAUAAAGAAGAAGUGGACCGAACAGUAUCAAUGGUUCAAAGACAACUGAUUUGGGCUAAAUAAAUAGCGGAUGAACAGUGACGAACAAAAUCAAUGGGCCAAUUGAUCCAUAAAGCAAACGAUUGAUUUUAGCAAAUCAAAUGGUCAUGAUCAAAUCAGAAAAAUACGACCAUGAAACAAAUCGGAUAAAGGAAAAUACCACAUGAACAGUAGAAGAACACCAUAAAUUAUCAUGAACAGGAGCUUGAACACAAUUUACAUUCCAAAAUGCCAAAACACCAAUAAUCUUCAAAAUCUUGUGCAGAAAAUCAUCAAAUCAAGAACCGAUACUUCAAAAAUCAACAGAUCUUCAAAGAACCUCUAUGAUACCACUUGUUGGGAUUAAAACCCUAAUUGAGAUUUGAUGAACAAGAUGCGGAAAAUAAGAACAAACACAAAUAUGAAGAUUAUGUUGAAUGAUCACUCGAUUUAUUCAGAUAUGAGGAAUAAAUUACACUUAAGAAAUAAGAAUCUAACUCUACAAGAAACCUCACAACGUGGCGGCUACAUUUUGCCUCACUCUCUUAACCCUAAUUGUG